CUGCACACAGAAAGGCCCUGGUUGGUUUGAACUGGGACUCAAACCCAGAACCUUGUUACUCUGCGGUUUCUAUGGUUACCACCAGCCAAUAACUGGCCAGCCGCCGCCUCCCCCCUGACGAGGAGCUGAACCAGAGUCUGACAGUGAACGAGUGCAACACUACACAGGAUGCUAAUUCUACAUUAGCCCUACCAUUCACUGCUACUACAAUAAUAAUAUAAUAUAUAUUAUUAUAUAUAAUAUAACACUUUAAUAAAAUGUAGUUGUUC